rnacentral:lncRNA from 1 species
AGUGAAUGAACAUAAAAUUCAUAUAAAGAGGCAAGAAUUCACAGAGUAAUUGCCAUGAAAUGUAUGAUUACACACAUCUUUUACAUUAUAAUAACAUUCAAACACAAAAAGACAGCCAUCCCCCAUUCUUCUCCCCACAAAAAGAGUUGUUGUAAGAGAGAUAUUUAAGACCACCAAGGGGCAUCACCAGUCCUGAAGUCAGUUUCAACCCAUGGAACAAACACAACCUUUCCACCAUCAUCAAUAUCCGCAUGAGCCAAGGCAAGCGACUGUGUUUUAUGAAAAUCAAGUUUAGCAUAGAAAAUUUACCUAGAGAUUAGAGAGAAAGACUAAUGUAUUUGACUUACCAAUGGAGCUGGACCUCUAACGACUCUGCCUUGAGCAUUGUACUGGGAUCCAUGGCAAGGACAUAGGAACUUGUUCUCAGCUUUGUUCCAUGGCACAACACAUCCAAGAUGAGUGCACACUGCGUUUAUACCGUAUGUCGCUAGUGUCUUGUCGUUCUCCACAACUAG